rnacentral:rRNA from 1 species
UGCAAGUCGAACGAUGAUGCCCAGCUUGUUGGNUGGAUUAGUGGCGAACGGGUGAGUAAANACGUGAGUAACCUGCCCUUAACUCUGGGAUAAGCCUGGGAAACUGGGUCUAAUACCGGAUAUGACUCCUCAUCGCAUGGUGGGGGGUGGAAAGCUUUUUGUGGUUUUGGAUGGACUCGCGGCCUAUCAGCUUGUUGGUGAGGUAAUGGCUUACCAAGGCGACGACGGGUAGCCGGCCUGAGAGGGUGACCGGCCACACUGGGACUGAGACACGGCCCAGACUCCUACGGGAGGCAGCAGUGGGGAAUAUUGCACAAUGGGCGCAAGCCUGAUGCAGCGACGCCGCGUGAGGGAUGACGGCCUUCGGGUUGUAAACCUCUUUCAGUAGGGAAGAAGCGAAAGUGACGGUACCUGCAGAAGAAGCGCCGGCUAAUUACGUGCCAGCANCCGCGGUAAUACGUAGGGCGCAAGCGUUAUCCGGAAUUAUUGGGCGUAAAGAGNUCGUAGGCGGUUUGUCGCNUCUNCCGUGAAAGUCCGGGGNUCAACUCCGNAUCUGCGGUGGGUACGGGCAGACUAGAGUGAUGUAGGGGAGACUGGAAUUCCUGGUGUAGCGGUGAAAUGCGCAGAUAUCAGGAGGAACACCGAUGGCGAAGGCAGNUCUCUGGGCAUUAACUGACGCUGAGGAGCGAAAGCAUGGGGAGCGAACAGGAUUAGAUACCCUGGUAGUCCAUNCCCGUAAACGUUGGGCACUAGGUGUGGGNGACAUUCCACGUUUUCCGCGCCGUAGCUAACGCAUUAAGUGCCCCGG